rnacentral:piRNA from 2 species
UAAAAUUUUGACUGAGGAGCUCUUUGAUGA